AUUGAACGCUGGCGGCAGGCCUAACACAUGCAAGUCGAACGAGUGGCGGACGGGUGAGUAAUGUCUGGGAAACUGCCUGAUGGAGGGGGCUAACUACUGGAAACGGUAGCUAAUACCGCAUACCAUCAGAUGUGCCCCGAUGGGAUUAGCUUGUUGGUGGGGUAACGGCUCACCAAGGCGACGAUCCCUAGCUGGUCUGCGAGGGUGGCCAGCCACACUGGAACUGAGACACGGUCCAGACUCCUACGGAAGGCAGCAGUGGGGAAUAUUUCACAAUGGGCGCAAGCCUGAUGCAGCCAUGACGCGUGUGUGAAGAAGGCCGUCGGGUUGUAAAGCACUUUCAGCGGGGAGGCGUUACCCGCAGAAGAAGCACCGGCUAACUCCGUGCCAGCAGCCGCGGUAAUAC
rnacentral:rRNA from 1 species